AGUAGAAAAUCAGUUAGCUUUAAAGGUCUCUUUCAUCACUCAUGUAUCCUUUGCAUGCACUCCAGUUCGAUUAACUUUGAUGUGUGGUUGAUUUUUAUUUGCAACUUUUUAACAAUAAAGUUUUAAUCAAAUUAAAAAAUAAUAGUAAAAAAUAGUCAAAGGUAACAAAAUAUUAUGACAUAAAACUGCUUUUGUUUAGUUCUGCAAAGAUUUCUGAAUUGCUUCUUGCUAGGCAAACUUAAUAAGCUGUUUAAUCCUAGGACUGGCCUAUGUACAGAAAUGCUUGUGCAUGAUUUCUGGGCUUUCUAUAUGAAAUACACAUUCAUUCUGACAGUAUUGAGAUAGGCUAACUUUGCUAUUACCAUAUUUGCUUGUACAUUUUGUUGCAAGUAAUGUUAUGAGAUCAGAUACUUUGUUACUUAAUUUGGUGUGUAUUUACAUUGUAAAAUUAUUGAUUGUCACUGACAAUACAUUUGUAAGAAGUCUAAGGCUUCGGUGUUUGUCAGUGCUGCAGACCUAUAUUUUAGUGAGCCAUGAGAUCUAAAACUUACUUCAAGAGUAGAAGCUGAGCUAAUGUACAAAGGACUUCUGUUUGGUUCUUCUGUGUAGUGAUUGUAAUUGUACUGUAAUUGUUACAUGUUGAAUGUACUUACAUUCCUUUUGUAUUGCAUAAGCUUCCUAAGAUGCAAAGCUAAGAAAACUCUUCAGCAAAAAGAUGUGAGUUGACAUGUUCCUAAUUAUAUCAUGACUAUUUUUCUUUAAGUAACAGUAGUUAGAGAGGCCUAAUUGUGCAUCAAGCAAUGCCAAUUAAUAAUUAAAAAGUAUUGGACACUGGCCACCUACAGUAGGCCUGAGUUAAAAGCCACUCAUUCUGUACCUCUUAAUUGCUUUAAUUGAGCAUACAGUUUUGUUGGCAGGAACUUCUUGAUACUUGUCACUUUUACUCUCCUACUCCUACAUAAGGUUGGUGUGAGUGAAGAAAAGCUAUGAAGAUGGGAAACCAGAGAUGUUUUGAGAAGGAUAAAUCUGUUGCAGGAAACAUCAGCUAGACUAACUUGGCUAUGAGUUGGAAUGCAGUGUGCUGGCUGUUGCUGUGACUCUGGAAAUCAGGAUGCACUUGAGAAACAAUUAAUACAGCAAGUUUACUUUCUAAAUUUGGCUGUCAGUCAACUAUUUUCAAACACAUCUUUUAAAUAAGCUUCAAUACGUUUAGUAAUUUGCUCAAAAUGAACUAUAAUUCUUAUAAAAAUCCAAACAUGAUAGAAAAAUGUGAAAUAUAUAAAACAUUACAGAUUC